UCCCUCACAUCUGAGUAAAGCGAAAGUGAAAGAGAGGUUUAAAGCCUUCAGUGUAUUUGUGCUCGUCUGCUACCUUUCUGUCCUUCACGAGUUCGGAUUAAACACAUUUAUUCUGUUCAUUAGACACCACGAUCGACUCUUGAGAGAAAGAUUUAAUACCGGGAGCCUGUGCUGUGUGAAACCUGCAGACCGGUGAAGACCUGACCAACCAACUAACUCCAUGUGUAUAUAGCUGAAGAUCUGUUUACUCGCCUCUGGAGCCAUUUUGCUUUUCCUCACUCGUCACUUGAAGAUUUUCUCUAAACAGACUUAUUUCUGUAUGAAGGGUUUCAGCUCUAAUGUUGACUCUUGCCUAAACAAAGAAAAAUAAACUGCUUUCCUCACUCAAUACUGCCUGGAAUUCUCUGAAUUUAACACAGCUAUUAACUUUCUAAGUCAGAGCAAGAGCAAUUAAUAUUUUUAACAUGUAUUUAUUUAUGUAUUGCUCCAUAUUAAGUUGAAAUGAAUGAUGUAUCAGUCCCAAACUCGUACGAUUGUCCUUCGUCUGUGGAUCAAGGAGGAUUUGUUGAAGAAUCAACACCACAAUACUCAGUGAGUCUAAAGUUUCAAGCACCAAAAAUAACAUAAAUGUGGUGUAAAAGUGAUCAUAAAACUGAGUCUUCUGAAGCGCUACGAUCCUUUUAUAUGAUGAACAGAGUGACAUUUUAGCACGUAAUCACGUUCACAUCAGCCCAUCUUUACAGAUCCUUUUGAAAAUGAAGUAUGCUUUAAAAAGAGCGUUUAUUAUAGAAAUAAUUAAUAAAAAACACCAUAAGAAGUGUCACACUUUAGGGAGCAAUUCUCACUAUUAACUAUGAAUUCUGCCUCACUAAGCUUAAUUUAAUUUUCUGAUCAUUAAUAGUUUAGAUAUGUGGUCAAUUAAGGCAUCUAAAAUAUUCUCAUGCUUUAAUAUGUGUUUUAAUAAACAGACAUUAUGCCAGUAAUAUUCAUGCUAAUAAACUAUAGUUAACAGUGGGAACCGGUCCCUAAACUAAAGUGUUACUGAGUAUACUGAAGUGAGAAUGAGAUAUAACCUUAACUGUGUUAUUUACAAUUGAAUGAAAGUGUAUUAUAUAUUAACUUUAUAUUAAAUGCAAUUAGAUGACUUAAGCAUUAAGUCAUCUGUUGUCUUUGAAAUAUGGUUAAGUUCUGCUGAAUGUACUGAGAAGUGUUUAUGGUAAACUGUAAUAUACUCCUGGAUGACUGCUUUAUCAGUGUUCAUGGUGUCAUUGAUAAGCCGCUCAUGUACUGCCUUCAUCUUGCAUCCUUCAGAACAGACCACAGCUCUUUCCUGCCCACUUCAUGCCAGUUUAACAAACCUUGACCAAUAUCACUCACACCAGAGGUUUUCCCCAUGUCUGUCAGCCGAUGGAGUCUGGUGAAGUGAAAUCUGUGGAUAUCUGCUCAGACUGACACCAUCAGAUGAGAUCAGACGUUGGACUGAAUCCAGCUGGACUCUGAACAGAUCUGAAUAAUGAUCUCACCGUCUCUACAGCACCAUCUGAACUGAAUCAGGGAUUCUCCUGUUCAUCAUCUCCAUCUCGACUCUAGAAAUAAAGCUGACUUGACUAUAUGCCAUUUCUGUUUAAACUAGAAUAGCAUGUGCUUAAAUAUCUCUAUAUUCCCACAUUUGCAAUUUACUACAUUUAGUAAAAUAUAUGUGGAUUUUAAAUGUAAUAUUGCAUAACAAACUAUAGUUACAAUUAUAAUCAAGUGCUUUAUGAACACAUCAAAAUAAAGGUCUUCUUGAAAGCA